UACGUAGGGGGCAUGCGUUAUCCGGAUUUACUGGGUGUAAAGGGAGCGUAGACGGCGAUGCAAGCCAGAUGUGAAAGCCCGGGGCUCAACCCCGGGACUGCAUUUGGAACUGUAUAGCUAGAGUGUCGGAGAGGCAGGCGGAAUUCCUAGUGUAGCGGUGAAAUGCGUAGAUAUUAGGAGGAACACCAGUGGCGAAGGCGGCCUGCUGGACGAUGACUGACGUUGAGGCUCGAAAGCGUGGGGAGCAAACAGG
rnacentral:rRNA from 1 species